GACGAACGCUGGCGGCGUGCCUAAUACAUGCAAGUAGAACGCAGUUUCGAACGGGUGAGUAACGCGUAGGUACCAGCCUCAUAGCGGGGGAUAACGAUUGGAAACGUUAGCUAAUACCGCAUACUGUGUGGUUGACCUGUGUUGUAUUAGCUAGUUGGUGAGGUAAAGGCGCAACAAGGUGACGAUACAUAGCCGACCUGAGAGGGUGAUCGGCCAAACUGGGACUGAGACACGGCCCAGACUCCUACGGGAGGCAGCAGUAGGGAAUCUUCGGCAAUGGAGGGAAGUCUGACCGAGCAACGCCGCGUGAGUGAAGAAGGUUUUCGGAUCGUAAAGCUCUGUUGUUAGAGAAGCGGUACCUAACCAGAAAGGGACGGCUAACUACGUGCCAGCAGCCGCGGUAAUAC
rnacentral:rRNA from 1 species